AGUAACGCGUGAGUAACCUGCCUCUCAGAGGGGGAGUAACGUUCUGAAAAGGACGCUAAUACCGCAUGACAUCCCGGGGCCGCAUGGUCCUGGGAUCAAAGGAGCAAUCCGCUGAGAGAUGGACUCGCGUCCGAUUAGCUAGUUGGUGAGAUAAAGGCCCACCAAGGCGACGAUCGGUAGCCGGACUGAGAGGUUGAACGGCCACAUUGGGACUGAGACACGGCCCAGACUCCUACGGGAGGCAGCAUG
rnacentral:rRNA from 1 species